AACUAAACCCGACAUCAGCGAAAAUCCUUUUUGUUGCCCCUUCGAUAGGUUCAGGAUAACAGUAACAAAAAGAUUGUAGCGAAUGGCGGGGCUGCGU
rnacentral:sRNA from 1 species